CCAAAGUGCAAAUUUGGAAAACACCCCAAAAAGGUGCCGGGGCUUCUCCCGUUU
rnacentral:tRNA from 1 species